CCUACGGGUGGCUGCAGUGGGGAAUAUUGGGCAAUGGAGGCAACUCUGACCCAGCAACGCCGCGUGAAUGAUGAAGGUCUUCGGAUUGUAAAGUUCUGUCAUCGGGGAUGAACACAAUGACGGUUCCCCAAUAACCAGCCACGGCUAACUUCGGGCCAGCCGCCGCGGUAAUACGUAGGCGGCAAGCGUUAUCCGGAAUGACUUGGCGUAAGGGGUGCGUAGGUGGUUUGGCAAGUUAGUAGCGUAACUCCAAGGCUCAACCCUGGAACUACUACUAACACUGUUGGACUGGAGUGCAGGAGGGGCAAGCGGAAUUCCUAGUGUAGCGGUGGAAUGCGUAGAUAUUAGGAGGAACACCAGUGGCGAAGGCGGGUUGCUAGACUGUAACUGACGCUGAGGCACGAAAGCGUGGGGAGCAAACAGGAUUAGAUACCCGUGUAGUC
rnacentral:rRNA from 1 species